GCAAAAUGUCUAGGUGUUUAGACUGGUACCAAUGAUCUUGCAUCAAAACUGUAUAACUUUAAACAUGACCCUGAACAACUGGUUUCUUUAAGUGAUUCAACAGACUAGUUGAGUGAUGUGGGGGAGGGUACACCAAUAAAAAAGUGACCCUAGAAACAUGGAUGACGAGUAUGGUGGUGUAAUAGUGAAUUCUAAGAUUGAUUCUUUGCUUGAUCCAAAGGACCAGGUUGCCUGGCCGAAGUUGGAGCUGUGAGGACUCAUAGAGCAGAGAAGAGUUGUUCUCAGUUAUGAACUUGGAACACUAUGAAGAUGCAAGGGCUUACUGCAUAUGGAUAUUUGUUUUAUUUGGAUCUAGAUUACCGAUGACUAUGAGUCAUAUGUAAAUAUGUUUUUAUCCUACCACUCAAACAUAUA